rnacentral:tRNA from 1 species
AGUUUUAAUAGUUUAAUUAAAAAUCUUGGUCUUGUAAACCAAAGAUGAUCACCAUCUUAAAAC